GCCCGGAUGGUCUAGUGGUAUGAUUCGCGCUUCGGGUUCAGCACUUGAAUAUGCGCGAGGUCCCGCGUUCGAAUCGCGGUUCGGGCC
rnacentral:tRNA from 4 species